rnacentral:rRNA from 1 species
UAGGGAAUCUUCCACAAUGGACGCAAGUCUGAUGGAGCAACGCCGCGUGAGUGAAGAAGGUUUUCGGAUCGUAAAGCUCUGUUGUUGGUGAAGAAGGAUAAAGGUAGUAACUGGCCUUUAUUUGACGGUAAUCAACCAGAAAGUCACGGCUAACUACGUGCCAGCAGCCGCGGUAAUACGUAGGUGGCAAGCGUUGUCCGGAUUUAUUGGGCGUAAAGCGGGCGCAGGCGGAAGAAUAAGUCUGAUGUGAAAGCCCUCGGCUUAACCGAGGAACUGCAUCGGAAACUGUUUUUCUUGAGUGCAGAAGAGGAGAGUGGAACUCCAUGUGUAGCGGUGGAAUGCGUAGAUAUAUGGAAGAACACCAGUGGCGAAGGCGACUCUCUGGUCUGCAACUGACGCUGAGGCUCGAAAGCAUGGGUAGCGAACAGGAUUAGAUACCCUGGUAGUCCAUGCCGUAAACGAUGAGUGCUAAGUGUUGGGAGGUUUCCGCCUCUCAGUGCUGCAGCUAACGCAUUAAGCACUCCGCCUGGGGAGUACGACCGCAAGGUUGAAAC